rnacentral:lncRNA from 1 species
AUGAUAGUAAUUUUACGGAUGGGUCUUGAGGCAGAUUGGCCUGAAGACAGCUAUGAGUAUAUAUGGAAGGAGACAGCCUGCAUCUGUUGUUUUAGGCAUUCAUUUAUGGGGGAUGAGCAGUUAGACACAUUUCCACAGGAAGAAACGAUGAUCUCUUCAGUUAGUGUUAAGUUAAUUACACUAGAUGAGUGGAAAAAGUGCUGGAAUGAGGAAAACCAUUGGUCUUGCUUAUAUUGCUGCACUGCAUGUGAAGAAGGGACACUUUCAGACUUUUUUUAUAAGGAAGAUGUUUCUGUGCUGACAGCAUCAGUUCUACCUAAGAGUUGUAUCCCAUCCCAAAGGUUUGAUUUCAGAACCGUUGUAGCCAUUCUCAGAACAUGGAAGAGUAGCAUUUCAACAAGCCAGCAUCAGCCAUUUCAGUUCUAUCCCCUUCUUGUUUUCAGCCACCGCACCAGCCAAGAUUUAUUUUAAGUACCCUUUGCCUCGCUGUGUCCUCCCUUGUUCUUUUCAAGCUGCAGCCAUGAGAGAGUUUGAAAGAGCUGACUGGACCGAAAUCUGCUGGGUUAAUCAGGUCUUUAAUAAAAGACCAUGGAAAUGUCA